rnacentral:lncRNA from 1 species
CACAAGCAGCAGCAGCCCGUUCCGGAGAGCUCCAAAGAUGCAACACCUAAUGAUCUGGAGGAAAAUGUACCUUCUUUACCAAGCUGCAGCAGCCAGUGUUCUGAUACUAGCAUUUUUCCCAUGAAAAUGAACAUAGAAUUUCUGGAGGAGAAAAUAAAGUGGCAAGAAAAAAUGAUCGGAGAGCUAGAAAACGAACGUGAUUUUCUUCGAGAACAGGUUCUUGGGAAAGCCAGAUGACAAGAUGUUGCACCUUUCAACAUCAAACAAGAAGUCCCCCACCAUGACCACAAUGAUGACACUACCUCCUCAUCACAAAGUUUGAGCGAACCUGAUGAGCCUGAAAUAAUAGACAACAAACAGAAGAAAAGAAAGAAGGUGGCACACCAUUCACUUCGACAUCACAUAAGAGGUCAGUGGCUUUUCUUCAUUGUUUCUAAUGCUUAC